CAUUUCUCGAUACUUUUGCACUAUAUGCUUCAGACAUUUUAAAUCGUUCAGAGAUAUUCAUAUAGAUUUAAUCAAAUAAUCCAUAUAGGUUACGAAUGGCAUGACAUCUUCAAGUGUCUGGACUGCAGGUACGAUCCUCACAAUCUUUUACAAUAUUAUGCACUAUAUUGUAUCAAAUAUAUCGUCGAUGAUCAUUUUUGUA
rnacentral:lncRNA from 1 species